AGUUCUCAUAUACUGAAAACCAGAUGGGAUCGUGCCAGUGAGUGAAUUGAUCGAUAGAUCAAGUUUACUCAAGUUUCUCAACCCACACAACUCUGUAGGAAUAGAGCCUGUAAGCUGGUUCUGGAAGAGGUAGAGCAAAUUCAAUUCUGGUAUGUUGCCCAACUCCUUUGGUAUUCCUCCAGUUAAGAAAUUUUCUGAAAAGUCAAUCUCUCUUGCAAGAGAAAGAUUCCCAAUCUCAGAAGGAAUAGUACCAUUUAAUGAGUUUCUAUAAAGGUAUAGCUUCUGAAGAUUCGUGAUGUUCCCAAUUGUUGCAGGUAUGGGACCAAAUAGAUUAUUGUCAUAGAGGGCAACUGUGCCAAGACUUGUACAGUUUCCUAUCUCUGGAGGAAUAACACCAGAAAGCUGAUUCCCCCAUAGGAUUAAGUCAGUCAUCA
rnacentral:lncRNA from 1 species